rnacentral:rRNA from 1 species
CCUACGGGCGGCUGCAGUGGGGAAUAUUGCACAAUGGGGGAAACCCUGAUGCAGCGACGCCGCGUGAGUGAAGAAGUAUCUCGGUAUGUAAAGCUCUAUCAGCAGGGAAGAAAAUGACGGUACCUGAGUAAGAAGCCCCGGCUAACUACGUGCCAGCAGCCGCGGUAAUACGUAGGGGGCCAGCGUUAUCCGGAUUUACUGGGUGUAAAGGGAGCGUAGACGGCAGCACAAGUCUGGAGUGAAAUGCCGGGGCUUAACCCCGGAACUGCUUUGGAAACUGUGCAGCUGGAGUGCAGGAGAGGUAAGUGGAAUUCCUAGUGUAGCGGUGAAAUGCGUAGAUAUUAGGAGGAACACCGGUGGCGAAGGCGGUUUACUGGACUGUAACUGACGUUGAGGCUCGAAAGCGUGGGGAGCAAACAGGAUUAGAUACCCCGGUAGUC